rnacentral:rRNA from 1 species
UACAGAGGUGGCAAGCGUUGUUCGGAAUUACUGGGCGUAAAGCGCGCGUAGGCGGCCUUGCAAGUUAGAGGUGAAAGCCCGGAGCUCAACUCCGGAACUGCCUUUAAAACUGCAUAGCUUGAAUCCGGGAGAGGUGAGUGGAAUUCCGAGUGUAGAGGUGAAAUUCGUAGAUAUUCGGAAGAACACCAGUGGCGAAGGCGGCUCACUGGACCGGUAUUGACGCUGAGGUGCGAAAGCGUGGGGAGCAAACAGG